rnacentral:rRNA from 1 species
CCUACGGGGGACUGCAGUCGAGAAUCAUUCACAAUGGGGGAAACCCUGAUGGUGCGACGCCGCGUGGGGGAAUGAAGGUCUUCGGAUUGUAAACCCCUGUCAUGUGGGAGCAAAUUAAAAAGAUAGUACCACAAGAGGAAGAGACGGCUAACUCUGUGCCAGCAGCCGCGGUAAUACAGAGGUCUCAAGCGUUGUUCGGAAUCACUGGGCGUAAAGCGUGCGUAGGCUGUUUCGUAAGUCGUGUGUGAAAGGCGCGGGCUCAACCCGCGGACGGCACAUGAUACUGCGAGACUAGAGUAAGGGAGGGGGAGCCGGAAUUCUCGGUGUAGCAGUGAAAUGCGUAGAUAUCGAGAGGAACACUCGUGGCGAAGGCGGGUUCCUGGACAUUAACUGACGCUGAGGCACGAAGGCCAGGGGAGCGAAAGGGAUUAGAUACCCGUGUAGUC